rnacentral:lncRNA from 1 species
GUAUACAGUGUCAGGUCCCCGCAGAGCCUGCCUGGCACGAGUUGGGGACUCGGAAGCCAGUACUUGGUUCUUCAUGACUGUCACUGUCAUUAUUGUUUGUGUCCCCUCCUACCUUACAGUGCGCAAACAGGAAAUUAUCAAAGUGACAGAGCAGCUGAUCGAAGCCAUAAGCAAUGGAGACUUUGAAUCCUACACGUGAGUUAGCCAGGCUCAUUCUGCAUGUGCUGCCUG